AUACGGAGGGUGCAAGCGUUAUUCGGAAUUACUGGGCGUAAAGCGCGUGCAGGCGGGUGGACAAGUCUGAUGUGAAAGCCCCGGGCUCAACCUGGGAAGUGCAUUGGAUACUGGCAGACUUGAAUACGGGAGAGGGCAGUGGAAUUCCUGGUGUAGGAGUGAAAUCCGUAGAUAUCUGGAAGAACACCGGUGGCGAAGGCGAACUUCUGGCCAAUGACUGACGCUGAGGCGCGAAAGUGCGGGGAGC
rnacentral:rRNA from 1 species